UGCAUGAAUAAAUUAAAUAUGAGUUUCUCUGGUGCAUUACAAGUGCACUAGCUGUCAUAUCAAAUCUGAGGGAAAAAAUAAGAUACUAUUGUAAUACUAGAAACUAUCUGUUAUAGUCCAAGCCCAAAUUAAAAGAUCCAAACCCAUUAAAAAAAAAAACAGGAGAAUCGGGAAGAAGACUCCCGGUAGGAGUCUUCUUCUCCGAUUAAC
rnacentral:lncRNA from 1 species